AGGACAGCACAGGUUUGGUUCAUCUGGAAGGGGCCUACAAAGACCAUCUAGUCCAACUGCCUGAUCUCUUCAGGGCUAAACAAAAUUUAAAGCAUAUUACUGAGGGCAUUAUCCACAUAUCUCUUGAACACUGAGAGGCAGGGGCAUCAACCACCUCUCAAGAAAGCCUGUUCCAGUGUUUGACCACCCUCACAGUAACAAACAUUUUCCUAAUGUCUAGUUUGAACCUCCUCAGGUGCAGCUUUGUGCCAUUUCCAUGCAUGACUAAGAAGGAGAGAUUGGCACCUUCUUCUCCAUUUCCCCUCCUCAGGAAGUUGCAGAGAGUGAUGAGAUGGCUCCUUUUCCUGUGUUUCAGAGUAUGCAGCAAUAACGUUGCCAUCUCCGAGCAAGUGAGUAUGGAUUGUGCUAUGGU